GAUGAACGCUGGCGGCGUGCCUAAUACAUGCAAGUCGAGCGAACAGACGAGGGGAUUGCUCCUCUGACGUUAGCGGCGGAGGGGUGAGUAACACGUUGAUAACCUACCUAUAAUACUGGGAUAACUUCGGGAAAGGGGAGAUAACAGAGGAUGAUAUAUUGCACCGUAUGGAUCGAUGGUGAAGGACGGGUUUGCUGUGACUUAUAGGUGGCUGAAUGGCGCAUUGGCUAGUUGGUUAGGUAACGGGUUAUCAAGGCAACGAUGCGAAGCUGACCUGAGAGGGUGAUCGGCCACACUGGAACAGAGACACGGACCAGACUCCUACGGGACGCAGCAGUAGAGAAUCUUCCGCAAUGGGCGAAAGCGUGACAGAGCAACGCCGCGUCAGUGCUUGAGGUCUUCGGAUCUUAAAACUCUAUUAUUAGGUAAGAACAGAUGUAUAACUAACUAUGCACGUCUUGACGGUACCUAAUCAGAAAGCCACGGCUAACUACGUG
rnacentral:rRNA from 1 species